CGAGCUGGCUCGUACGAAAUCGUACGAUUAGUUCAUCGCAUUUAACACAGCCAUGUGUUGCAGGGAUUUCGUGCUAAUUAAUACGAAUAGAUUAAAUCGUACUAUACCAUACGAUUUUGUUCAUCGCAUUCAAGAAGCGUGACCCGUAGCCAGAAAAAACCUCUGGGUGUGCACCUGAAAAUCUGCGUGUCACAGGCAGGCAAGAUGACCAGAAACGCUGGGGAAUUCAGGUGCUGUAAAUCCGGUGGACAGGACUCAUCUCGUUAUAGAUCAAGGUAAUUUAUAAAGAUCUUUAAACAAAGGAUUGCAAUAUCAGAUAGUUUACAUGGUAAGCAAGUUAGUUAAUAUUUUUAAUUAAAAAAAAAGGAAAAACGGAAUAAAACUAAUAGCAUACAUUAUUGUUGUUGCGGUGUGUCACGUGACAAUCAUGACCCGUCGCCAUGGACACAAGGGGUCAGAUAAAAUAUUUUUAAAUUACGCGUGAAAGGCUUGAUUUUAAAAAUAUAUAUAUAUUCUAAGUAAACAACAACAGCCCUAGUUUAGUAAAAAAAAAUAUUGAAACUAUAAAUAAAUAUUCUGCAUCCAUUUUAGGUGUGCUACUGUGGGUGGCUACGCCCCUGCCGUGACCCAAAUCUCGUUCGCACAUCAUCGCGAUAUUUAUCAUCUGUUUACAAACGUCGCCACAUCUCGCUUCGUAAGAUGGAAUUACUGGACUUCUCUCCAAUGCUCUUUAUUACCACACAGAGAGGCCAGCAUCGCUUCACAAAAGUUUUCAUUAAAAACGUCAACGUUCAGAGGCAUCACUCAGUACCAGUCAUGCAGAGACUUUAUGAGGCUGUUGUAAGAGAUUAGCCUAUCCCCUGUAUGUCACUGAUGCACUACUACAAAGAUGUGAGGACAAGAAAAUACACCUGCGAGUAGUCUUAGACAUUGCCUGUGUUGUUGCCUCACAUUUGCAGAAAUCAGGGGAGGGCAUACCACACAACAUCUCCUUAGACUUACCAGCAUUUCAUGUUUAUGGACACAAAUGGCCCUGCCAGGUAAUUCAUUGACUUUAUAGGGAUAUCAGG